GACGAACGCUGGCGGCGUGCUUAACACAUGCAAGUCGAACGGAAAGGCCCUGCUUUUGUGGGGUGCUCGAGUGGCGAACGGGUGAGUAACACGUGUGUAACCUGCCCUUGACUUUGGGAUAACUUUAGGAAACUGGGGCUAAUACCGGAUAGGAUCUCCUGCUGCAUGGUGGGGGUUGGAAAGUUUCGGCGGUUGGGGAUGGACUCGCGGCUUAUCAGCUUGUUGGUGGGGUAGUGGCUUACCAAGGCUUUGACGGGUAGCCGGCCUGAGAGGGUGACCGGCCACAUUGGGACUGAGGUACGGCCCAGACUCCUACGGGAGGCAACAGUGGAGAGUAUUGCACAAUGGGCGGAAGCCUGAUACAGCAACGCCGCGUGCGGGAAGACGGCCUUCGGGUUGUGAACCGCUUUCGCCUGUGACGAAGCGUUAGUGACGGUAAUGGGUAAAGAAGCACCGGCUAACUACGUG
rnacentral:rRNA from 1 species